AGGAGUUUUCAAGAUCAAAGGCAGUGACCAUUCUCCAUUCUUCUCAAAGCCACAGUCACUGCAUAAGAUUUUGGUUGAAAUUGCGCAGAUUCCAUGAUGUUAAUUUCUCUGGGGAAGUUUUUUUCAUAGCAAGAGUGGCUUCAUUGAUUCUUAUGGAGGCUGUAGAAUCCAUGAGGUUGUUGGUUGUACAGAAGAGGAGAAUGACUCAGCUUGUUUUAAAUCCAUUUUCAUAUUUU
rnacentral:misc_RNA from 1 species